rnacentral:rRNA from 1 species
GAUGAACGCUGGCGGCAUGCCUAAUACAUGCAAGUCGAGCGAAUGGAUUAAGAGCUUGCUCUUAUGAAGUUAGCGGCGGACGGGUGAGUAACACGUGGGUAACCUGCCCAUAAGACUAGGAUAACUCCGGGGAACCGGGGCUAAUACCGGAUAACAUUUUGAACCGGAUGGUUCGAAAUUGAAAGGCGGCUUCGGCUGUCACUUAUGGAUGGACCCGCGCCGCAUUAGCUAGUCGGUGAGGUAACGGCUCACCAAGGCAACGAAGCGUAGCAGACCUGAGAGGGUGAUCGGCCACACUGGGACUGAGACACGGCCCAGACUCCUACGGGAGGCAGCAGUAGGGAAUCUUCCGCAAUGGACGAAAGUCUGACGGAGCAACGCCGCGUGAGUGAUGAAGGCUUUCGGGUCGUAAAACUCUGUUGUUAGGGAAGAACAAGUGCUAGUUGAAUAAGCUGGCACCUUGACGGUACCUAACCAGAAAGCCACGGCUAACUACGUGCCAGCCGCCGCCGUAA